AGAGAGAGAGAGAGAGAGAGAGAGAGAGAUUUGUUGUUCCACUUAUUUAUGCAUUCAUUGGUUGAUACUUGUGUGUGUCCUGAUUGGGGAUUGGACCCACAACCUGGG